rnacentral:rRNA from 1 species
GAACGUCGUGAGACAGUUCGGUCCCUAUCUGGUGUGGGCGUUGGAUGAUUGAUGGGAGCUGCUCCUAGUACGAGAGGACCGGAGUGGACGAACCGCUGGUGUUCGGGUUGUGAUGCCAAUCGCAUUGCCCGGUAGCUACGUUCGGAACGGAUAACCGCUGAAAGCAUCUAAGCGGGAAGCCGGCCCAAAGAUGAGUCAUCCCUGACAGUUUAACUGUCCUGAAGGGUUGUUCUAGACUAGAACGUUGAUAGGCAGGGUGUGGAAGCGUUGUAAGGCGUUAAGCUAACCUGUACUAAUUGCCCGA